GACGAACGCUGGCGGCGUGCUUAAUACAUGCAAGUCGAACGGGCAAAUGCCUUCGGGUAUUUGCUAGUGGCGGACGGGUGAGUAACGCGUGAGCAAUCUGCCUUGCAGUGGGGAAUAACACAGGGAAACCUGUGCUAAUACCGCAUGAUGUAUUUCCGGGACAUCCCGGGGAUACCAAAGGAGUAAUUCGCUGUAAGAUGAGCUCGCGUCCGAUUAGAUAGUUGGUGAGGUAACGGCCCACCAAGUCGACGAUCGGUAGCCGGACUGAGAGGUUGGCCGGCCACAUUGGGACUGAGACACGGCCCAGACUCCUACGGGAGGCAGCAGUAGGGAAUAUUAGGCAAUGGGGGAAACCCUGACCUAGCAACGCCGCGUGAAGGAUGAAGGUCUUCGGAUUGUAAACUUCUUUGGCCCGGGACGAUAAUGACGGUACCGGGAGAACAAGCCACGGCUAACUACGUG
rnacentral:rRNA from 1 species